AAAUGGCGUUUUCUUUGUUGUCGUAUGAACUUGUUUUUUGUUUUCUACGUUAAUAAAGUGCUACUACAUAGUAAAUUGGAUUGUAAAAUGGUGAACAAUAUAAUUAUGUGCUGUGAGUGGGUGUGGGAAAGAAUCGUAUCCUGGCGGUGGAUUAUCUUUUCUCAGUUUGCUAUCGGAUUCAGAGUUGAGGAAAAAAUGGUUUGAGGUGAUACCUGGGAACUUACAUAAAAGUUCUGUGGUUUGCACACUUCAUUUCAAACCUGAAGAUUAUCGAACAUAGUCUCGGAAAAGGUUAAAACCUGGAGUGAUUGCGACCCUGAUUGUUCCGCCACAUCCAGUGAAUUCUUUCAAUUGUGAAAACAGACAUGAAAUUAUUCUUUUAAAAUUCAUUGCUAACAAAUAUCUCACAUUGAGACUGUCAACUUUUGGCAAAGAUCAAACAUUGAAGGCCAUAGGCGCAUCUCGCGCUACUUUGCGCCAUAAAUUGCACAAAACAAUUUUGUUCAGUAAUGUGUAAUUUUAAAAUGUCUACAUAAAUAAUAAAUAUACCAUUUACUAUAA